rnacentral:rRNA from 1 species
UACGGAGGGUGCGAGCGUUGUCCGGAAUCACUGGGCGUAAAGGGCGCGUAGGCGGCCUGAUAAGUAGGGGGUGAAAUCUUGCGGCUUAACCGCAAGGCUGCCUUCUAAACUGUCGGGCUAGAGCACGGUAGAGGCAGAUGGAAUUCCCGGUGUAGCGGUGGAAUGCGUAGAGAUCGGGAAGAACAUCAGUGGCGAAGGCGGUCUGCUGGGCCGUUGCUGACGCUGAGGCGCGACAGCGUGGGGAGCAAACAGG